CUGUGGUCAGACGCUUUGCUUUUUCCAUCCGAUUAUCCUCCUUCUCCUUUCUCAAUUCCUCUCUCUGCCUCUCCACAGUUUUCUCCAGAAUCUGUAUUCUGUGUUCCUUCUCCUCCUUUUCCUUCAUGACCUGCUCACCACUGACAAUUCCCAUGGAUCUUUUACCUUGUUUCAGCUCCUCGAUCUGUUUGGAAAGUGCUUGUUUUUCCUUGCUGAAGUCUUCCUUUUCCUUGAAUGAAUUUUCAAACUUUUUCUUCCACUGAACUGCCAACUUCCUCUGCUUCUCCAACUCUGAUUUCAGACUAGCCUCGUUUAGCAAAACAUCAUUUAUCUUUUGCUCCCUCUGACUCAGUUCUAAUUCACUCUUUGCAAGGUCUUGCUCCAAUUUCGAUAUAGUCUCCUGCUGUUUGGAUAAAAGGUUAUUGAUUUCCUCAAUCUCAGAUUCUUUCUCUUUCACUUUUUCCUGCAUUUGCUGUAAGCCAUCCUUCAUUCGAUCAUAAUCUUCCACAUCAACAUUUCUACACCUCUCAAGUACCUCAGAAACUCUCUUUUCCAGGUGACCUUUCUGCAUUCUUUCCAAUUCAAUUUCCUUCUUGCAAGCUUCUACCUCAAUUUGUCUUUCCCUCAGCAGAGAUUCUAGAUUGUCAGAAUGAGCCUUAGCCUUCUGAGCUACUUCACGCAAUUUCAGGCAUUCUUCAAAAUUAUGCUUGUUUUCCUCUCUCAGCUGCACGUUGCUUUCACGCAACAAAUUCAUUUCUCUAACCUUAAGUUGAAGGGAUUUAAUCUCUUCUUCUGAUAAUAAUAAUGCCCUUGAAUUUGCACGCUCAGCAUGUAGUGAAGCCUGGGCAUUUUCUGCAGCUUUUAAAGCAUUCUCAAGUUGUGAUUGCAAUCGAAGCUUUUCCUGUUUUAACAAAGAAAUCUCAGUUUCUGCUAUUUCCUUUGAUCUCCUAAGAUAGUUAAUCACACUUUGCAUCCCACUAUCACCAUGGGAAUCUAGAACAAUGCUUCCAGAAGAAAUACCCACAUAAUUGCGAUCCUUCUCAGCCAACUGAAUGUGCAAGGCCUCAAGUCGAUUAUGCAAUAUUUUGUUCUGUUCAUUGAGUUCAUUAGAUUUUUCCUCAGCUUCUUUUUUUAAUUCCUCCAGCAAUGAUUUCUCUACCUCCCUCCUAGCCUUCAGCUCAUUAUUUUCACUUUUCUGAGCAUCUGUCAAUUUACGCAGAUCAGAAGCUUCCUGUUGUACUGAGGCCAAAGCUUGUGAUGCUUUUGUCAACUCAUGAAUUGUCUCAGAUUGCAGGACCACCUGUCUUUCAUAAUUGGCUUGAGCAGAUCGCCAUCGCUGAUGUUCCUUCUCCAAAUCUUCUUUUAAAGCAGAAACUUGAGUUUCCAGAGCCAUAAUUUGAGAGAUUUUACUUGAGUUUUCUUCCUUCAGACAAGCAAUUUCAGUCAAUGCAGAAGUAAGAGCAUCUUCUUUUCCAGAAGCUGCAGAGGCUACCUCUUCAGAUUUUAACUUCAAUUCAUUGUCAAGCUCCG
rnacentral:misc_RNA from 1 species